AAUCUUCGGCAAUGGACGGAAGUCUGACCGAGCAACGCCGCGUGAGUGAAGAAGGUUUUCGGAUCGUAAAGCUCUGUUGUAAGAGAAGAACGAGUGUGAGAGUGGAAAGUUCACACUGUGACGGUAUCUUACCAGAAAGGGACGGCUAACUACGUGCCAGCAGCCGCGGUAAUACGUAGGUCCCGAGCGUUGUCCGGAUUUAUUGGGCGUAAAGCGAGCGCAGGCGGUUAGAUAAGUCUGAAGUUAAAGGCUGUGGCUUAACCAUAGUACGCUUUGGAAACUGUUUAACUUGAGUGCAAGAGGGGAGAGUGGAAUUCCAUGUGUAGCGGUGAAAUGCGUAGAUAUAUGGAGGAACACCGGUGGCGAAAGCGGCUCUCUGGCUUGUAACUGACGCUGAGGCUCGAAAGCGUGGGGAGCAAACAGG
rnacentral:rRNA from 1 species